GACAGAGGGUGCGAACGUUGUUCGGAAUACUGGGCGUAAAGCGCAUGUAGGCGGCAGCGCAAGUCGGGCGUGAAAGUCUCAACGGCUCAACCGUGGAAGUGCACUCGAAACUGCGCAGCUAGAGUCCUGGAGAGGAAGGUGGAAUGCUUGGUGUAGAGGUGAAAUUCGUAGAUAUCAAGCGGAACACCGGUGGCGAAGGCGGCCUUCUGGACCAGUGACUGACGCUGAGAUGCGAAAGCGUGGGGGA
rnacentral:rRNA from 1 species